ensembl:lncRNA
AUGCCCUACUGUGCAGUCUUGAGUGAGGUAUUAUUUAACCCAACAGCCAGCCACACACACCUAGCCUACAUCCUGGAGCUGGUCCUAGUGGCUGAGAAUGCAUCUGGCAUUUUUCAGAACACCUCAGAGUUGCUGUGGCGCCAUGUCAAAGUUUUAAUUCUAAACAAUUCACCAAGCCUAGAAGAAAUGUGCCGCUUUGAAGUUCCAUGUCUCACCGUUCUGCAUCCGUUGGGCUGCACGGCUCCGGCCUUCCCUCCACCUGCAGCAGGCGCCUCCAGACGACCGCCACGGACCUCCAGACGACCGCCACGGACCUCCAGACGACCGCCACGGACCUCCAGACGACCGCCACGGACCUCCAGACGACCGCCACGGACCUCCAGACGACCUCCAGACGACCUCCAGACGACCGCCACGGACCUCCAGACGACCGCCACGGACCUCCAGACGACCGCCACGGACCUCCAGACGACCGCCACGGACCUCCAGACGACCGCCACGGACCUCAUGGCGAGCACCUCCAGACGACCGCCUCCAUCACCUCUACUGAAACAAGACACAAUCUAUUCAAACACUGGAGAUUUUUUUCUCCUCGCUCACUCAGAUGUCAGUAGCUUAUCUUCUCCGCUACUGUGCGUUCUUGAGAAGUAUCAUUUCCUAUAAACUCCCAAACCCAGCCACACAUCUAAUCUUCAUAAGGACACUAGUCCUAGUGGCUGAGAACGCUUGGCUAACAAGCCAAUCACAACCAAUGACUGAAUUCCAGUUUUAUUCUGAACCGUUUGACCACGCCAAGGAGGAGUUUAUAGGAUGUGCAGUUCCACGGCUCACCCGUCUGUUCCUGUAGGACUGAAAGGCUCCUGGCCACCAUCCACCUGCAGCUCCCAGCUCAAGACCCGCUCUGUUGAAGCCUCUGGGAGUACAAUCCGCUCCUGAACAAAGACAACUGUUCAUAAAUCAUUUGGUACUCUGCAAUCCUUGGAAAUAUUAUGAAGCAUGAGCUCGAAUAGAAAAUGUUCAAAUCCUCUAUAAUGAUUAAUUGUUGUACAAAUGUGUAUAGUUCUAUUGAUUACUUUUUUACUUCUAUAAAACAUUUAAUGAAUAGUGGGAAACUACACAAGAAAAGUAAAUGAAUGCGGUUUUAAAGCGGUUAUAUUAGUAAAGCAAGUCUUACCCAAAAAGUCAAUAAAUGGUGACCACAUUUUAUCAUUAUUAUUAUUAACUAUUUAGUGCUUCACUAAAUUCCUAUAGCAAGUGGAAACGUUACUCUCCUUCAUUGGUGAUGAUGUUCAUGUUCCUCGAUAUCUUCCAAUGGACUCGUUGUGAAAUCCUUCUGGAUCCUCUGCGUUGAAGUGCGGUUCAAUUUCCAAGGGGCGUGUCUAAAGGGCGCGAUCUAAAAUGGGUCGAUGCUAAGCUAUUGGAUAGGCCUCGACUAAUCAUAGCAUUGGAACGGGUGAUGCAGAAAUGCAUAUUCCUCAAAAUCUUUUAGUAGACGUUCUUUUAGUGAGCAUAUACAGUCUUUAGUUCCCCAACUUCCAUCUUUGUUGUUGAAACACCUCUACAUGUUGCAUAUAUCCAACAUCACAUUAGAUAGCCUAAAGGGUUGCUAUUGGUUGGUCUAUUUCGUACCGGGCAGAAAACGUUAUAUAACGGAGGGGCGCCUGACCGCAUCUUUGAAGAGCAAAUUAUAUACGAGGUCCGUCUAGUUCCGAAGCCAUUGGUGAAAUACGCAAAACGAAUAUUGAAAUUUUAAUUUCGGCAUUUAAUUUGCAUCUACAUUUUGCCAGUGAAGGAGUUUAGGUUUGCCAAUCCGAGGUCUAACAGGCAGUAAACAUGUUCAUUAAAAUACAAAUGCAAAGUCCACAGAACAUACGCGAAUAAAAACCACAUUGCACCACCAGCGGUCAACAGCAGCAGCAAGUAUUGAAAGUAGAAAAGUAGUAAAGAGAAGAAUAGAAUUGGGAGAGUGGUGUGCAAGUCAGACACCGCAUCUAACCCAGGACCACCUUGCAGAUCACAAGCAGCAAACCUUCUACCAGACCAACCAAAUACACAACAGGCCCCCAGUCAGUAGGGUCAGUCAGACAGGUUUCCACAGAAGGGCUCAGUGGGGUUAUGGGUUGAGCAAAAACAGAACCCUUCCUUCCACAAGUUUCCAUCCUGGAUUUUUUUCGGACAUGUGGAGUCGGACAUGUUUCAAGUUAUCCGUGGAUUCUUGAGGGCAGUGAAGUAUCUGCAGAAGGUGACGUCCAGGUCCAGCGGUGUGCCGCAUUGACCACGAGAUCUUUAACCGAGUGGGACCGCCUCGGUUUGUAGUAGGCCUAGAACAGUUUGUGUUCAACAGCGUGGAGGUCCUCGUUUCCAUCAGAGUUGCUGCAGUUCUUCCAUGCUGCUUCCACAGUGAGCAGAGGACACUUCCCAGUGUGGUGGUCGGUGCUGUAGCGGUCCGCAGCGUUAGUUAGUCAGUCGAUCCCAUAGAUAAACCACUCAACACAAACUACCACUUCCAUCAGCAAAUCCACAUUAACCUCCAGCGGUAAAACAUGUACAAUAGAAGAGCGAGAACAGACGACAGGAGGAGAUGGGAAGAGUGUAACAUGUGCAGUGCUCAUGAAGGAAGUAGGCUACCCCGCGUUACUCACUGCGUGGGUCCCGGUGGCGGGGGGUCAACGUCGGUGGCCACGAUGUCCGGAUUGUUCAGCCCACGCAAUCCAACGCAAAAUAAACGAUUAAAAUCCGUCACGGUGGGGGCGCUUUAUGAGGAGAGGCGGGGGAGACGCAGCUGAAAUCAAUUAAGAACUAGUGACCUCCAGAAGAACGUGAUUGGUUGUGAGCGAGAAGCUCGAGACGAGAGACGGCAAAGGCCUGCGUAUUGGUUAGAGCAUAAGUUCAGGCACUGACUGAUAUGACCAUAUCAACCGGUGUGCUGACUACUUGUACACAAGGAACCAUUAGAUUUUAUUGCAUAGAUUUAGAGAAAAUGUCAUUUGAAAAACGUACACAUGCAUAUUCUCGCCUUUGCAAAAUUGUAUUAUGUCAGCACUUUGAAGUGGGCUAUAGACCGAAUUUCACAUAAAUUCAGGCACUGACUGAUAUGACCAUACUAACUGGUGUACUGACUAUACAUGAUACUGAUGAAUAAUUAUGUUAGAUUCUAAAAAAAUUGAAAUGUUCUAAAAUAGGUACAAUAUUAUAACCACGUUAAUAAGGUUUGUAAGAAACCAAACCGUUGGGAAAACGGUUGAAAAUGUAGCAAGUUAUGGUUAUUUAUAAUGUACAUACAGUAGGCCUACCACUACCCGGGGGGGGGGGGGGGGGGGGGGGGGUAGGGAGCAAUUGUUUAUUUUUUUUUAUUUUUUAUUGCCAUGGGCCCCCCCUCUGCCUUGGGCCCCCCCACAACUGCCUCACUUUCCCCCGCAGUCCGUCGGCCCUGCCACUACCAACACAAUGUUAUGGGUGAGCAGCUGACUGGCAAGAUGUCCGCAAGUGCGGACAUUCUAGACGCCGCCGUAAGACAGCUAGUGUUCUAUAUAUCUACACACGUAGGUGAAGGGUUUUAUUUUGAAAACGUUGCGAGAUACCACCCAAAGGCUGUUUAGAGUAAAGGCGCACGAAGAUUUUGUGUGACGGCUGGCUUAACCGCGGAUGAACGAAUGGCGGCUCACUUGACCGCAGUCAUAAUACGGGGGGCUCUUAGCUCCACGACCCGGCCACCAUGGGGCCCACAUUGACCUGCCCAUUAAAACCAAACACACACACACACACACACACACACACACACACACACACACACACACACACACACACACACACACACACACACACACACACACACACACACACACACACACACACAUUUUAUGGCUGUAUGUAUGUAUGUAUUAAUGCAGUAUG